rnacentral:sRNA from 1 species
UCGCUGCCGAGCAUCGUAGCCACGACGC